UAAACUAAGUCCCCUGCUGGCGGCCAUCUUGGAUGAUGGAUCGGCUACAAAGUAACAACACUUGGUCAGCACCUCAUAAGGAACAUUCAUGCAAUGUUUAGUUUUAUUCCAUUCAGUGGUUCUCUAAAAGAAGUCAUUUGUAUGCAUUUCCAUAGGGUCCUAUGUUAAACUAAGUCCCCGCUGGCGGCCAUCUUGGAUAAUGGAUCGGCUACAAAGUAACAACACUUGGUCAGCACCUCAUUAGGAACAUUCAUGCCAUGUUUGAUUUCAUU
rnacentral:lncRNA from 1 species